rnacentral:rRNA from 1 species
GGAUUAGAUACCCUGGUAGUCCACGCCGUAAACGAUGUCUACUAGUUGUCGGUUGUCUUGUACGACGGGUAACGCAGCUAACGCGAUAAGUAGACCGCCUGGGGAGUACGGCCGCAAGGUUAAAACUCAAAUGAAUUGACGGGGGCCCGCACAAGCGGUGGAGCAUGUGGUUUAAUUCGAAGCAACGCGAAGAACCUUACCUGGCCUUGACAUCCUGCGAACUUUCUAGAGAUAGAUUGGUGCCUUCGGGAACGCAGAGACAGGUGCUGCAUGGCUGUCGUCAGCUCGUGCCG